rnacentral:tRNA from 1 species
UGUCUCAGUUGGUAGAGCAUGGUCCUUAUAACGCCAGGGUUGUGGGUUCGAUUCCCAC